UUACUUGUUCCGACUAGAAAAGGUGGGGAGGGGGAGGGUGACGAGAACUUUAUUGAUGUAAACUUUGCUAUUUUGCCUUUUCCGUGCUGACGUCUAAAAUAGCCUAUUGAUCAGGAUAUGCGCAAAUCCGUGAUUUGGUAGAACAUAAAGAAGCCACGUCGCAUACGGUAGUCUGAGCAACAACGGUACUGGCAGAGAUUAUCAGGGCAAAAUGGACAACAUAAAGACGAAGAUGUGUCUCUUUGUCAUUUUACUGGUGGUCAUUGUAAGCGGGUCCGAUGCAGCUGACUGUGGAAACUUCACGGACUGUGCUUCGUGCUCACAAGAAAGUGAGUGUGGUUGGUGCGACAACACGCUGACAUGUCUGCCAGGAGACGAGUGGGGCCCGAACAACACUUCGUGCCCUUCCUGGUUCUACUACGGCUGCUUCUCUGCGGGCGAAACGGCCGGGUGCUCGGAUCAGAUUCAGAUACUGGACUGUGACGAAACGCACUGCAACGAGGGACUCAGUUCUUACAACCCUGACGUGUGUCAACAUUGCAGGGGAGUGGAGAGUUGCUUCCAACAAGA